rnacentral:rRNA from 1 species
AUUGAACGCUGGCGGCAUGCCUUACACAUGCAAGUCGAACGGCAGCACGGGAGCAAUCCUGGUGGCGAGUGGCGAACGGGUGAGUAAUGUAUCGGAACGUGCCCAGUCGUGGGGGAUAACGCAGCGAAAGCUGUGCUAAUACCGCAUACGAUCUAUGGAUGAAAGCGGGGGAUCGCAAGACCUCGCGCGAUUGGAGUGGCCGAUAUCAGAUUAGCUAGUUGGUGGGGUAAAAGCUUACCAAGGCGACGAUCUGUAGCUGGUCUGAGAGGACGACCAGCCACAGUGGAACUGAGACACGGUCCAGACUCCUACGGGAGGCAGCAGUGGGGAAUUUUGGACAAUGGGCGCAAGCCUGAUCCAGCAAUGCCGCGUGCAGGAUGAAGGCCUUCGGGUUGUAAACUGCUUUUGUACGGAGCGAAAAGGCUCUCUCUAAUACAGGGGGCUCAUGACGGUACCGUAAGAAUAAGCACCGGCUAACUACGUGCCAGCCGCCGCCGUAA